UCAAAUUCCACAGAGAAGUCUGCCAGGCCGGGGAAGGGCCUUGGUACAGCUGCAAGAACUUGGACACUACCACCACCCUGGAGCAGACUCUCAUCACUUUUUUCACGUGGACCAUUAAAGAAGCCUAUUGGUUGGUCUCCCUGCCUCAAGCAUCUCCUCACUCCACUCAUCUUCCAUGGAGUUGUCAAAUUGAUCUUCUUUAAAGGUCUAUAUCCAAUAGUUGCUCUUCUUCUCUCCAAGAGGUACUGUUGAAACGCCACUCUUUCUCUCAAGGAAGCUUUUGUCCAGAACCUUCUCCUUUUCUCUCCAGAAAACAGGGUCCAGGAACUCUUGGCACUCCUACAGAAGACUAAGCUUCACAAACACUUGCCCCUCCAUGACUGCUCCUGGCUGUGGCCAUCUCCUAUAUGUGUCUAUAUAUGUAUAUGUGGCUCCCUCCUUCUCAGAGGCCACAUGGUCCCAGUUGCUGGACUCUAGAAAAGCUCUACUAGGGCCUCUUCACUGCCUCCACUUCUGAAGCUGUAUGUAUUUCUGGAGAAAGAUGCACAGAAAAGAAGAGGAUCUGCCCAACUGGGGAGCAGUGAGAACCAAGAAACAAGAAGGUAACAGAGAAUUGGGGUCACGUGAUGGAUAUGUUCCUGAAUGGACCAAUGACAUCAAAGAUUCCAAUCCAGACUAGUAAAUUAUCCAGAACAUAUGGGUUUUUCCUUCUUCCUGUGCUUUCCUACCAGGUAUACGUAAAUGCAUGUCAACUCCUCCCCUCAGAUACUGGGUGCAAUGGUACGAUGGAAGAAAGAUGUGGUAUAGGGGUGUGAUGGAGAGGGAGAGGAUGUAUAUGACCUCAAGUACAAGGGAACAGGUUAGGAUGGAAAGGAAUAGAAUCAACAAGACAUUGAACAACUUGAGAAAGGAGAGAGCAUAAGCUGGGGACUUAAAAAUAACUGUCACUGAAAUAUGGAUACGAUGAUGCAUCUGGAUGGAGCAAACCUCAAAGGAGGAGAGAUUGCUAAAGUGGUGUUUUCUUUGGAGUUCUAGGUAGUUCUCUAUGUCUUUCCAACCUCUGAGAAUCUUCCACAGGGAGUCCACCUGAUGGGCUUGGGGUAUGAGUGUGUGUCAUGUCUACAUAUUUUAAUACAGCUUAGAUACUAAUGAAGCAAGUGAACUGUCCUUCAGUUAUUCCUUGCUAUUGCCUAUUUUUUCCUGGUCUUGCAUCUUUCUGAUUAUAGCCUCCAAGCUGCUUAUCUUAUACAAUUUUUAUAAUCUGUUGCAUCCUGCACAUGUUUGCCAAGUGCCUGUAAGCUGUCCUUUGGGUGACCUUCAACUUUAAUUCUUCAGAUGCUGGGUAUCCCUAAUUUGCAGCCACACGGCAUCAUGGACGAACUCUAAUGUUAAAAGACGAGUCUUUGUUUUGGCUUGUCGUCAAAGCACUGGACAAUAUCCCAAAUGCAAUUCAGCCCAAGCAUUUCCUCCUCCAAUUCAGGCAUCUUUUCACUGUCCAUGUGCAACAUCUGUACAAGAUAUAUGUCCUUAUAUUUUAUUUUAUUGGUUUUUUAAUGUAUUUUAAUGGUUUAUUUAUGCUUAGCAUCAUCUAGAUAAUAGGCAUUCUUCAGUGGUGUGGUUUUCCCUGGAUGGAUAGUUAGGCCAAACUUCUUUGAGCAAUUAAGGAUCUCAUUUGGAAGGCACCUCAGUGUCCUGGGGCUUGAUGCAAUCAGCAUAAUAUCAUUCACAAUCAGAAACAUCUGAAGGACUUUGCCAUCUCUAUGGAAUCCUUCCUUUCUUUGGACUCAGUCGUGGACCUUCUCCAUGACAAAAGCAAACACCUUUGGUAAGCAAGUCUCCCUGUUUUGUGUCUCAUUUGAUAUGAAUAAUAAGGUUGUCAAAGUACUUUCUAAUAUUACAUCUACCAAGGAGUCUUGUGUGAUUUUCUUGUAUGCAUGGAAGAUGCUUCAUUGGAAGCCUGUUGCUCUACUGAAUCAUGAUGAUUGAUGAUUGAUGUGGUCUGAUGUAUAAUGUAGCAAAAGGCUACUGGCUCCCUAUCAUAUUUUUCAUCUAGGAUGCCCCAGAUGUAUGUGUAGAGGAUUCUCAGGGAAAUUUUGUAGAGAUAAGAAAACAGUCUUGGUGGUUAC